rnacentral:rRNA from 1 species
UACGUAGGGCGCAAGCGUUGUCCGGAAUUAUUGGGCGUAAAGAGCUCGUAGGCGGUUUGUCGCGUCUGCUGUGAAAACCUAAGGCUCAACCUUGGGCUUGCAGUGGGUACGGGCAGACUAGAGUGCGGUGAGGGGGUGACUGGAAUUCCUGGUGUAGCGGUGGAAUGCGCAGAUAUCAGGAGGAACACCGAUGGCGAAGGCAGGUCACUGGGCCGCAACUGACGG